UACGUAGGGUGCAAGCGUUGUCCGGAAUUAUUGGGCGUAAAGAGCUCGUAGGCGGUCUGUCGCGUCUGCUGUGAAAACCUAGGGCUUAACUCUGGGCGUGCAGUGGGUACGGGCAGGCUAGAGUGCGGUAGGGGAGACUGGAAUUCCUGGUGUAGCGGUGAAAUGCGCAGAUAUCAGGAGGAACACCGGUGGCGAAGGCGGGUCUCUGGGCCGAUACUGACGCUGAGGAGCGAAAGCGUGGGGAGCAAACAGG
rnacentral:rRNA from 1 species